GUCUGCCAUGCAUGGCGGGAAAUCGAUCUUUUUGUCUAAUUCUUAUAAAACUUAGUUUAUUAUCCCCUCGCCUACUACAUGUAAGUUGCGUGUAGAUACAAUUGUUAUGGACACUCUAGAACCAAAAUGCUCAAAACUUGGUAUGGUGUUACUCGUUAAGAAUAUCUUAAGCGCUAUUGACUUUAAAGUUCAAAGGUCAAGGUCACAGUGGCAAUUGUAAUACAAGGCAAUAUCGCCCUUGUGGACACUCUAAAACCAAUAUGCUUCAAAAGAUUUUAACCACAUUUGGUAUAUUGUUCCUCCUUGUAAUGAUCUGACAUUUUUUACGUUCAAGACCAAAGGUCAAGGUCAUGCAGAUGGACUUCGUUUUUUCUCCUUGAAAUAGCACAAUACACA
rnacentral:lncRNA from 1 species